rfam:Otolemur garnettii contig157472, whole genome shotgun sequence.
GCCAGGCGUUGUGGUGGGCGCCUGUGGUCCUAGCUACUUGGGAGGCUGAGACAGGAGACUCACUUGAGCCCAGGAGUUGGAGGUUGCUGUGAGCUGUGAUGCCAUGGCACUCUACCUAGGGGGACAGCUUGAGGCUCUGUCUCAAAAAUAAAUAAAUAAAUAAACAGACAUAUCUUGAAACAUCCCUUUCUGCUGAUUCCAAGCCUUUAGACAAACUUUUAUUUCUUUUUUUUUUUUUUUUUGAGACAGAGCCUCAAGCUGUCCCCCUGGGUAGAGUGCUAUGGCAUCACAGCUCACAGCAACUUCCAACUCCUGGGCUCAAGCGAGUCUCCUGCCUCAG